CCUCCUUAUAACGAAGUUACACUUACAGAGUGUUCACACAAAUAAUUAAUUACGAAGUUUUAAGAGAGCUCUAACCCAUGCGCACAGUAUGUGCUCAUCAGUUAGGGUUUUUAACCCGGACGUGUAAACGUCAUGCUCUUUAACAAUUUGGAAAGCUGAUAAAAUAAGGUAAACAUUAUUGUUUAUUUAAUUUGUUAUUCAACAAUUUAAAAAAAAUAAUUUUGAUUAUCACUGUAAGAGAAACCUCAAGCGUUAUUUAUGUCAAAACGAACAUGCCUAUACAACAUGUCUCGUUAAUAAAUAUGACACAAGAUGAUGCAAUCGAGAAUGUGAGAACAUUUAAGGUUGUAUGGUUAAGUGAAUAAGCGUAUACGGUGGAUGC
rnacentral:misc_RNA from 1 species